UCAAGGCACUGUGCACUGCUGGAAAUGAACUGGGAGCUCCUGCAGUUUAAGAGCGCGCCCAGGCCUCCAUCCGCCCCUGACUCCUUGUUGGAAGUCGUAUAUUUCGCUGACACCAACGCCCUACUCAGAGACCCUUAGACUCUGGUGUGUGGGUUGGUCCCCUGCACCGAGUGGCACCCGAACAGGGACCUGAGUAGAAGAAAAAAAAAGAAAAAAAAAGAAGAAAUAAAAAACGACGAUAUUCAAAGAACAGUGAUUCCCCUAUUUGGGUGCCAGAUCGGCUAAUUCGCCAUGUCUCCACACCUCCGUCAGAUCCGCCAACAGAUGGCCUCAAGAUCAAUGGACCGCAGUCAACUUAAUCAGAAGAUAAGAAGACUCCCCUUUCUACUUGGGGGCAAAUUAAAAAGCUU